rnacentral:rRNA from 1 species
UACGGAGGGUGCAAGCGUUAAUCGGAAUUACUGGGCGUAAAGCGCACGCAGGCGGUCUGUCAAGUCAGAUGUGAAAUCCCCGGGCUUAACCUGGGAACUGCAUUUGAAACUGGCAGGCUAGAGUCUUGUAGAGGGGGGUAGAAUUCCAGGUGUAGCGGUGAAAUGCGUAGAGAUCUGGAGGAAUACCGGUGGCGAAGGCGGCCCCCUGGACAAAGGCUGACGCUCAGGUGCGAAAGCGUGGGGAGCAAACAGG